ACAUCUACAAAGCUGGCCAUCUAUGGACUAAAACUUUUAUAUUGUAAAUAUUUAUCUUUUUUAUUUCUUUCCUUGUUUACAAGAAAAUAGAUGACUCGAGUGUUACAAACAAUUAGUUUUUAAGGAAUAAUGUGAAAUAAUUUUCAUAGGAUAAAAAACUUAAAAACAUUACUAGGCCUAGACACUAACUUAGGUAAGUCACCAACAAGAAGGUAAGAGAGCUGUAGCCUACCAGUAGAAUGGGGGUAUUGUAAUUAAUAUCCUCUGACAUUGGAGGAUACAGGGGAGAGUUGCCAGAGGAAGAGGAGAUGGAGGAUGGGGCGAAGUAAAGACGAAGAUUGAAGAGAACUAACUUAUGGCCUGAUGACAGGGUGGAUGGCGAUGGAGGCAUGGUGGUUGGGGGAGAGGAGGCUGAAGAAGUGGAGACAAAUCAGUUUAGAUUCAUUACGUUGAUUAGUUUAAUAUUUAUUUUGUACAUCAGUAUAGGCCUACUUUUAUUUACAUUUUUUUCUCAUAUAGAUUAUUAAAUUAAGAUAAUUUUAUUGUCUUUAUGAAAAUGUUUUCUUAAAUUUUUAAUAUUUGUUUGUACUUCUGCCUGUUAAAAAAAUAUACUGUUUAUUAAGUUUGUUAAAAUGAUUACUUUCACUAACUGACCUUGUCUUGGGUGAAAAGAGACAUCUUGAUUUUAUUUAACUAGCAGGGUGCCUGUUCUAUGGGCGGGGAUCGUAUAAGUCAGUUGAAACCUUCUUAUAUUUUGAUACUUAAUCAUUUACAACUUUAUAUAGUAUAGAUCGCUAUUCCUGUAUUGAUGUACUGAAAUGAAUAAAAUUAUAUGAAAUGAAA